GCGCUGCGGGGAAAAUGCCAGUUCCAAAGACAGACCACCACCCCUGCCGCCCGCCCGGGCUGAGGGAGCGCGGCUCAGCCGGGUCCUUGUAACCUGUCUGCUGGAUGGUCCCAUGGACUCCUGACUGCUCUUACCUCUCCACGUGGCAGGAAACAGAAGGUGAUGUUUCCAAAGGAAGUGACCCACCUUGGAAGUCUAUCUCCUGGUUCUGGCUUUGGGCUAUCCAGUCUUGGAUGUGGAUUAGGCAGAGCACCUUGGAAACUCAGCUGAAGAUUGUGGAUAACUGGGGAGAAUAUUUGGAAUAAAGAAAUGAAAUGCAUGAGGGGAGUUUCAUGUUCCCAAGGGAAUGCUUCAGGGAUGUACAGCUUCUGAACUGCACAAUUCCCAGCCCAGGACUAAAGUUCCCUGGUGUUCCCUGAGUGGCUGCAGCUCCCUGGAUGUGGAGGGAGGUCUCUGCUGGAGAGUGGGAGAAAUGUCCCUGCUGGUUGCCUUGGUGGGCACAGAGCUCUGAUCUUGGCAAGAUGGGUUUCAAUGUGGCAUCAAUUCCAGUGAUGGGGAAAGGCUGGAAGAAGCUGGAUUUCACACAGUGGAGGCCGUGGCUUUUGGAACAGAGAAGGAGCUGCUGAACAUUAAAGGCAUCAGUGAAACCAAAGCUGACAAAAUUCCGAUAAGGAUGUUCUGGAGCUUUAACCCAAGAUAUUCCACAGGUUUAUUUCUGCUGGCUGAAAGCAGUGUGGUGAAUUUUUGAAGAUCUCCAAAGGGGAGUAGAGGUGAUUGGAGGUGUCACAUGACUUGUCACAGGAAAAGGUAAAAUGCACCAGCACAGGAUUGAGCUGAAGGGGAGGAUAUUUCCAUAAAACACACAAAAAGGAUGUUGGAGCUUUUCCUUGGAGCAGAAUUUCAGUUCUAUUCAGAGGUACCAACUCUUGUGAGGUCUAUGAAAUGUGCAUGGAAUGAUACAGGCACCUCUCCACAAGGCAGGAAAUAUUAAUUACUGCGGGUUAAUGAAUGGCAUGAGCUCUCCUGCAACUGCUCACUUGAGUUUUCCCACAGGCUGAGGCAGCCAAACUGGCUUCCAGGGUUUCACUACAGCACAGAAUUCCACCUGCAGUGGUCAGAGAUCAUCCAUAUCACCACUGGCUCCAAAGAGAUGGAAAAGCUGCUUCGAGGUCAGCAUUUUAUUAUUGCUCUUUCCUGCUUAAGCUCACUUAUUGGGUGGGAUUUUCCCAUGAGCUUGAUCUUUGCAUGGAACCACAUAGGACAAGUCUUGGUUGGAUUAAAAACCUCUAAAACUGC